rnacentral:piRNA from 1 species
UAGGACUUUUGCUAUAGGUACUGAAGCC